rnacentral:rRNA from 1 species
CCUACGGGAGGCAGCAGUGGGGAAUAUUGCACAAUGGGGGAAACCCUGAUGCAGCGACGCCGCGUGAGGGAGGAAGUAUUUCGGUAUGUUAAGCUCUAUCAGCAGGGAAGAAAAUGACGGUACCUGUCCAAGAAGCCCCGGCUAACUACGUGCCAGCAGCCGCGGUACUACGUAGGGGGCAAGCGUGAUCCGGAUUUACGGGGGGUAAAGGGAGCGUAGACGGCUAAUCAAGUCAGAAGUGAAAACCCAGGGCUCAACCUUGGGACUGCUUUUGAAACUGAGUAUCUAGAGUGCAGGAGAGGUAAGCGGAAUGCGUGGUGUAGCGGUGAAAUGCGUAGAUAUUAGGAGGAACACCAGUGGCGAAGGCGGCUUACUGGAGUGUAACUGACGUUGAGGCACGAAAGCGUGGGGAGCGAACAGGAUUAGAUACCCUUGUAGUC